rnacentral:rRNA from 1 species
UACGAAGGUCCCAAGCGUUAUCCGGAUUUAUUGGGUUUAAAGGGUGCGUAGGCGGGUUAUUAAGUCAGUGGUGAAAGCCUUCAGCUUAACUGAAGAACUGCCAUUGAUACUGAUGAUCUUGAGUAUGAUUGAGGUGGGCGGAAUGUGUCAUGUAGCGGUGAAAUGCUUAGAUAUGACACAGAACACCGAUUGCGAAGGCAG